GGUGCGUUAGUUCAGCUGGUUAGAAUGCCGCCCUGUCACGGCGGAGGUCAUGGGUUCGAGUCCCAUACGCACCGCCA
rnacentral:tRNA from 1 species